rnacentral:lncRNA from 8 species
AUGUCUGUUGGAUAUCUUUUAACUUUUUUGCUGAUCCUCUUGUCAAGUCAAGCCUGUUGGGGCGGAGAGAAAACCAAGAAUAUUGCUUGUGCAAACCUCAGAACAGGAUAUGCUUACAGAUACUGUGUAGAUGUGAAAGAGGAAUCUACAAGGAUCUUAUGCGUGGAGUGGACAUCCAUGAUCCCCAAUGGGGUGACUUCAACCACAGAUGAUACGUCUAUGUGGCUUGCUGAACUUUGCCAACACAAAAACACUACACAUGCACCCAAUGUGAUUGAUGUCAGCUACUCCUGCAUCACCCUCCUGGAGUGUGUCAACGUAGACCACACUGCCAUAAGCAAUGUGACUGAGCAUUGGACCCGUAUCAUUGUCUCUGGUGCAUCAGAUGGAGACAAUCCUGAUUCAAACCGUGGUGACACUGAUUUGAUCUGGAAAAUCAUUGUUGGUAUUGUAGCUGUUGUGGUGGUCAUUGCUGCUCUGCUCUGUGUGUUUAAACCUUGGAGAGACAAACAGUGCCACCAAGGCCACAGAGAUGUGGAAGAGGGUCAGGGCAAUCCAGAACCAAACCCCUUUCCUCUGAUGCAGAAUGAGCAACGUGAUUCCAGAGACAUCAGAAAGCCUGAUGACGGUGAGACUGUUGAGGCUGUGGUUGUUCCCAGGUUAGUUAAAAUACCUCUAUUACAUCUUUAUACUCUACUCUGUCCUGGAUCAGUUUGCCUUGCUUAUCCUUACAGUCAUGGUCAUCAUGAUCUCACUUUUAGUGACCAAGGAGGUGAGCCAGGAGAGGAGAACAGGCAGCCCAUGGACAAUGAAGAGACAGGCGCUGACACCCCUCUGCUGAAUGGAGAUGCCAGCGACCAAGGAGAGGAAGGGGUUCUAGGAAUGGAGGAUGGAAAACCGUCAGACAAUGACAGAGCAGACACUGAAACCUGUCAGAAGACACAUGCUGAUUCCCCUCCACUGAAUGUACCCAAGGUUGUCAGGGUUAACAGCCAGACUGAUGACCCACAGCUUCUGGGUCAACCUCAGAGCAAUGGACGCGUGCCCUAUAGAAGGGAAUCACACCUGACUGAUGGGGCUCCAGGUCAGGGUGCUGGUGAGACUUCACCCCUCCUCUGCAGAAGCCCAGGAGAGGAAGGCGUGCUAGAAGGGCAGGACAGGAAGUCAGCAGACAGUGGGGGAACAGACCCUGAAUCCUGUCAGAAGACACAUGCUGAACCCCCUCUAGUGAAUGGACACCCUGAUGUCAGGGUUAACGAUGAGACUAAGGAAGUGACUCCUGGUGCACAGAGUCCAGGACCUCCUCAGAUGAAUGGAGGACCUCCCAUGUCUAACAGAGCUGCAGAGGAGACCACUGCUCUAUUGGACAAACAGGCCUUGGACAAGGACCAAGUCACCAAACCUCCUGAGUUAAUACAGGAAGAAGAAAAGUGA